rnacentral:lncRNA from 1 species
UUCAACAUUCCCAAGUGGGUAUUCUCAAGUCCCUAAUAUCCCACCAAAUGUGGGAGAAUACCUAGCAUGUUUGGCACAAACGUCAUUGGAGAAUCUUCAUUUGAAUUCACAACCCAACAAGUGUCCAACUCACCCAGACUAGUAGUCAUUUGCGCACGCAUACGCUCAUGGAUGAUAAAUGCGAUGAAGAGUAACCCAAUGAGAAUUCUAGAUAUUC